AGACCCGAAACCCGGUGAUCUAGCCAUGGGCAGGUUGAAGGUUGGGUAACACUAACUGGAGGACCGAACCGACUAAUGUUGAAAAAUUAGCGGAUGACCUGUGGCUGGGGGUGAAAGGCCAAUCAAACCGGGAGAUAGCUGGUUCUCCCCGAAAGCUAUUUAGGUAGCGCCUCGUGAAUUCAUCUCCGGGGGUAGAGCACUGUUUCGGCUAGGGGGCCAUCCCGGCUUACCAACCCGAUGCAAACUGCGAAUACCGGAGAAUGUUAUCACGGGAGACACACGGCGGGUGCUAACGUCCGUCGUGAAGAGGGAAACAACCCAGACCGCCAGCUAAGGUCCCAAAGUCAUGGUUAAGUGGGAAACGAUGUGGGAAGGCCCAGACAGCCAGGAUGUUGGCUUAGAAGCAGCCAUCAUUUAAAGAAAGCGUAAUAGCUCACUGGUCGAGUCGGCCUGCGCGGAAGAUGUAACGGGGCUAAACCAUGCACCGAAGCUGCGGCAGCGACACUCAGGUGUUGUUGGGUAGGGGAGCGUUCUGUAAGCCUGUGAAGGUGUGUCGUGAGGCAUGCUGGAGGUAUCAGAAGUGCGAAUGCUGACAUAAGUAACGAUAAAGCGGGUGAAAAGCCCGCUCGCCGGAAGACCAAGGGUUCCUGUCCAACGUUAAUCGGGGCAGGGUGAGUCGACCCCUAAGGCGAGGCCGAAAGGCGUAGUCGAUGGGAAACGGGUUAAUAUUCCCGUACUUGGUGUUACUGCGAAGGGGGGACGGAGAAGGCUAUGUUGGCCGGGCGACGGUUGUCCCGGUUUAAGCGUGUAGGUGUGUGUUCCAGGUAAAUCCGGUUCACUUUAACACUGAGGCGUGAUGACGAGGCACUACGGUGCUGAAGCAACAAAUGCCCUGCUUCCAGGAAAAGCCUCUAAGCAUCAGGUAACAUCAAAUCGUACCCCAAACCGACACAGGUGGUCAGGUAGAGAAUACCAAGGCGCUUGAGAGAACUCGGGUGAAGGAACUAGGCAAAAUGGUGCCGUAACUUCGGGAGAAGGCACGCUGACACGUAGGUGAAGUGAUUUACUCAUGGAGCUGAAGUCAGUCGAAGAUACCAGCUGGCUGCAACUGUUUAUUAAAAACACAGCACUGUGCAAACACGAAAGUGGACGUAUACGGUGUGACGCCUGCCCGGUGCCGGAAGGUUAAUUGAUGGGGUCAGCGCAAGCGAAGCUCCUGAUCGAAGCCCCGGUAAACGGCGGCCGUAACUAUAACGGUCCUAAGGUAGCGAAAU
rnacentral:rRNA from 1 species